AACGAACGCUGGCGGCAGGCUUAACACAUGCAAGUCGAGCGCCCCGCAAGGGGAGCGGCAGACGGGUGAGUAACGCGUGGGAACGUACCUUUUGGUUCGGAACAACUCCGGGAAACUGGAGCUAAUACCGGAUAAGCCCUAACGGGGAAAGAUUUAUCGCCGAAAGAUCGGCCCGCGUCUGAUUAGCUAGUUGGUGAGGUAACGGCUCACCAAGGCGACGAUCAGUAGCUGGUCUGAGAGGAUGAUCAGCCACACUGGGACUGAGACACGGCCCAGACUCCUACGGGAGGCAGCAGGGGGGAAUAUUGGACAAUGGGCGCAAGCCUGAUCCAGCCAUGCCGCGUGAGUGAUGAAGGCCUUAGGGUUGUAAAGCCCUUUUGUCCGGGAAGAUAAUGACUGUACCGGAAGAAUAAGCCCCGGCUAACUUCGUG
rnacentral:rRNA from 1 species